UUGGUUUGGUAGAACAGUGUGUUCUCUCAAAUCUCUCUCAAACCCUAACUCUACACUCUCAGAUCUCUCUGCAACCCUAACUUUAACUCUCCACUCUCCUCUAUUUUCACUUUCAUACGCAGAAUCACUUUCGAAUCUUGGGGUUUCAUCCUCCUCUUCACUUUUCCUUCAUUUUUAACCGAUUAAAACCACUUUUCUACUGAUCAAAACCCUUUCUGUCGUUUGUUCUUCGAUUUCCAGCGAUUCAACCUCUAUUUGCGUCGUUUAAACACUUUUGUACUGAUCAAUCUUGUGUUUGAACCGAUUAAUCGGUUCAUUUUAAGUUUCUCCCUAUUUUUAGGGUUCCUUAGGUCUAGAUUAGGUACUUCCUCCAUUUUGGAGUUUUCCCCCAAUCGGGCUUCUAUUCAUUAGUUUAGGUUUUUUUAACAUUUUCUUCCAAUCAUUCUCCAUUUAUUCUCCAUGUCGCUCUUGAUUUGGAGGUCGUCUCAUUAUUUUGCUGUGUUUGCUCAUCAAGGAAGCUUCGAAGGAGUUCGAGUCGAGUUUGCGUCGCUCUUUUGGUCAUCUCCUCGGAGGCUCUUCCGUCAAGUGGCUGCAAAAUCAAUCACACCUGACGGCGUUUCGGCGUUGCUACUCUUUUGAAACCCAAAAAAGAGGCUGGAUUGAAGACUUAAGGUGCUGUUGGGAUUGUUUUUGAACCAAAAGCAGGAAGUGGUGACAAAAUCUGCUGCGGAGAUUCUAAACGAUCAACAUAGAAAGUUUCAUUUAAUUUUCUUGAGAAGUACUUGGAAGCACACUCAAAGGCCUCCAUGUGGAAAAAUGAGCUCCUAGAUGUAGGCUACCAGCCUCUGUGCAUCCAAAUUCCCUACACAUUAACAUUCCUCCAACCAGUCCGCUGCGUCAUUCUGUCCAAGGAGCCGCCCCAGUCUUGAACGUGAAGGCUGCUUCCAUCAUUUGGCAUCAAGAGCCAAUCGUUCACGCAACCACUACAAGAGCUAAGUUGCUCUUUCAUUCACUUUCUCCGUUUCUGUCAUGUGUUGUUCACACUCUAUCACUGUUUCAUCAAAUUUUUUUCAUUCUGUUUUGGUUUAAUUCGUGUCUGUGAUUGUUGCUCAUUUUAAUCGGUUCUUUUCCAGUGUGAGUUCAAUUCUAGAUUUCAUUUUCAUUUUUCAGUUUUGUCACGUCAUGUGCAAAAGUGUUGCAGUGCUAUUCUGUCAUCAAGUGUUUGAUUAUGUUCCAACAAUUUUUUUAUUUUCAAUUGAGUUUCUAGUGCUUGUGUAGCCAGAUAUCAACCUAAAAGGCAAUGAGACAAUGUCUAGCCUUGGUGAUAUGAGCUCCAACAUGCCAAACCUUGAAUCUGUUUCAUGAAAAUCUGCAUCAAAAAUCAAUUUCUGGAUUGAUAUGGUCAAUACUGUUUCUGCCAGUUUUGAUGUGUCUAAAACUGGAGAAAAGUUACUUUUUUGAUUUUAAGCAUGUCUCAAGUGAUAUUAACUCCAAUCAAUCAUAGAUUUGCAAAAUGAUUACUUGAGUUGAUGUAAAAUUAGUGUUCCCGAAACUGUCACAGUUUUCCACAAGUUUUUGCACCGUGCUUGAAUCCUUGCCAUGUUUUAGGCCAUUUUAAUUCUCCUAGCUCACAUGUUCAAGCUAGAUCUGGUCGCUUAGGACUUUUCCUACAUGUUUCUUGAUCCAUCCAGCAUUGAUUCACAUGAAUUUCCAAUUCUGCUGCAGUUUUGCCUUAUUUUUAUGCAAUUUUAAGCAACUACCACUGUCAUUUGUUGCUACUGUGUGUUUCUGUUAUGUUUCCAUGUCUGUGCAAGUAUAUUUUGUGAAUUGAAAUCUGUUUCUACUGUUCAAAUGGUCAUUAAGAAGCCUAUAUGCAGAUUUCCUCUGUAAACCACCACAUUUUGCUGCAUUUUUGGCUUCAGCUGCUGUGAUUUUGUGAAUCUGUCUCUGCAAGUGCAUUUUCAAAGUGUAUGCAAGUUUAUUUUACCAUUUAAAACUUGUGCACACUGUUCAUUUGGUCAAUUUUACACCAGCACUGCAAAAUCAGUUUCCAAGCAAUGAAUUUGCUUAAUUUUUGUAAGUGGACCAGUGAGUUUCGGGUGUGGUCUUUUUCCUUGUUGUUUGACAGUUUGAACACCUUCAAUUUAAGCAUAUAAAGUUGCUUGAACCAUUAAUUCUGCCAUAAAACCAUUGCAACUCAUUUUUGCAUUUCAAAGCACCAUUUUCACAUCACUUUUCUGGUGCAGUAUGCAAAUUAUGUGCUGUUUGACUUUGUACAACCUUUAAAUCUUCAUUUCUGGAUUGGCAAAAGCUCCUUUCAAGUUUCCAAAUGCAAUGAUAUGCUUAAAAGAGUGUACUACAUCCAUAAAAAGCAAGACAAAACCAAACAAUCCAGUUUUGACCCCAAAACCCGAAAAUCACGAAAUCUGAAAUUCAUUGGGGACUUUCAUCAAACAGUUUGCAAAAUUAUCAAACAGUUUCACUGCACUUGAUUUUGAUCUUUGUUUUUGCUUUUUCUUGCUUGUUUAAUCUGUUCUAGUUCCUCUCCUAGGUUCCUUUAGUGUCCCUCCCAUGAUUCCAAGCUUAAAUUUACUUGAAUUCAACUUGUUUGGCUUCUAUUUUGUGCCAAAAAACUGGUCUGCGAAAAUUAAAACUCGUGCAGCAGCUGGUUUGUUUGUUGACUGGUUUGGUGUUUGCUUUGGUGCUGUGACGUUUUGGUGCAGUGUUUCUACCUCAGAUUCCUUGCUCCAAGGGGGUAGCAUCUAAGGAAGUAGAUGAGGUGUUAAAAGGGCCACAAGCUUGGACUCCAAGUGCACUUCUUUCUUGCUGUUCCAGCACCAAUUUCAGCAGCAGUUUCAGCAACCAUACCACCUUUUUGCUCAUGAUUUUGGACCAGCACUAUGUGAAACAGCAGCCACACUAGGCUUUUGCAACAAUGGUAGGCAUUGCCACAAGGCCUUUACAAUCAAAUGCAUCAUCAUCAAGACUUUUCUAUACACUUGGUAAAUCUUGUACUCAACAAUACAAGAAUUGAAGAUUCUCUCUAUUUGGGGUUUAGAGCCAUUGCCUUGAUGAUAAAUGACUAGUUAGUGGUGUUUCAAACACUAGUGGAACAAUUCUUAGAUAGUUUUUCACAUAUAACUAAUUGUAUAAGUAGUUUAAUUUACUAUUACAUUUGCCAUAUUAUGAUUUGUACUAUUUAUUUAUGACUAUUAUACAUUUUAUAAAUUUAAU